GCGCUAUGGUUUCGUUACAUUCAUUUGGUUGGGUAUCGGCCGAGCGCUUCGGUACUAUCGUAGAAAAAGUGUAUUAUCAGUCGUAUGAUUAUUUGUCUGUAGUGGUCCUGCUGUUUCGUAUAUUCUAAAUUGGUUUCGUUGUAUUUGUCAAUUAAUAAGUUUAUUUGUUGGGUUUUCCUGGUUUUUUGGUUAAACUAUUUAACGUAGGUUUAGUUUGAUAUCGAUUAUUAGUAGUUACUGUAGUUAGUUUUUUUAAUAAAAUUGUAAGUCUAAUUUAUAAAUUAAUUAGAUUAGAUUUAAGUCGUUUCUUUUAAAUUAUUUAGUUUAAGCUUGGUUAUUAUAGCAUAGAGGAUAGGUUGUAAUAUAGUUUAUUUUUUAAUUGUUAUAAAUUCGUAAUUCGUAGCUUUCUUUAGUUUUAAGUUAGUUUAAGUCCGUUUUUAAACUAUUUUUUCAAUGCCCUAAGUGAGUAUACAUCUAUUAAAUUCAAACGCAGAGCUCAUUAUGUUGAUUUUUGAAGAGUUCCCUGGAAUAUCUUCCACAUCUCAUUUUUGAAGAGAUCCCGCGAGAUCGGGAACUAUGUGGUUAAAACCAAAAAUUUGCCGGAAGUCACUAUUCCACGCGAACGAAGUCGCGGGCAAAAGCUAGUAAGAAAUAA